rnacentral:tRNA from 1 species
AGGAUAGUAGUUAAUUAUAACGUUUGAUUUGCACUCAAAAAGUAUUAGAAAUCUAAUUUAUCUUA